UUUUAGGCAAGGAACAAAAGUAACUCAUCUUCUUAGUUUAAGCCACACAAAAAUUCUAUUUUCAGUUUAUUUUCUUCCUUAGCUCACUUCUUCUUUUCAUACCACCAAAAUUCCUCCCAGAAGAGGUGACGAGAAUUGGUUCCAAAGGAACUCAAACUGAAGAUCAAUUCCUGAUAAACAGGAUUCAUUUUAAUGAAGAAGAUGGAAUUUGAGAUUAGUUUAUAGCUCAACUCAUCCAAGAUUAUCCGACGGAAGAAUUUUCAUACCCACCUGAUGAUAUUUGUCUUGACCUAGUCUUGGAGUUUUACCAAAACAUCAACUCAAUCACAAAUAUUUCUAUGGUGAGAGGAAGACCUAGUAAUUUUUUUGGUUGAAGCUAUUAAUGGUCUUCAUUUUCUUGAAGAAGUUGAUGACAGAGAAAAAUAAUGCAUUUUCAAGAAACCCCAAACUGAAUUUGGUGGAGUCAAAUUUAUGUCCAAGAGGAGCUAAUUGUGCAUAUAAUUCCGAAAGGCAAAAAAGUAAACUUCUUCGCAAGAAUAUUGGCUACUGUGCUAGGCCAAUCUUGAGCUUUGUUGGCAGUAGGUUACUCCCAAACUCACAACAAUAAACUUCUUCGCAAGAAUAUUGGCUACUGUGCUAAGAUAAUCUUGAGCUUUAUUGGUAAUAGGUGCAUUAAAAUUACAAGAGGAAAAUCCUCCAAUAAAAGAGAGCAAAAACCAUUGUGGAAGGGAAAGAAAAAGGAAAGGGUGUGAUAGUGGAUGGAGAUACUAGUUAUGAUUCUGAUGAAAAAUGGGUGCCCUGUGAUAAAAGGAGAAGGAGAAGGUGAUGAAGGAAUAAAAUAUGUUUCUUCCUCACGGGACAAUCUCAUCCGGGAGGAUAAAGCAUUUUUAAGUGUGGGAAAAUUAGUAGUCUAUUUAAGUUAUUUUUAUUUCUUCUUAAGAAAUUCCUUUUGUUAUGCAGCUUGGUGUUUUUAGAAUAUACUAGUUUUAGGGUACGCGCUUUGCGCGUGUAUAAUAUAUUCUUGAAUAUACGAUUUUGAGA